rnacentral:rRNA from 1 species
CGGAGGAAAAGAAACUAACAAGGAUUCCCCUAGUAACGGCGAGUGAAGCGGGAUGAGCUCAAAUUUAAAAUCUGGCGGCCUCAGGUCGUCCGAGUUGUAGUCUAGAGAAUCGUUUUCCGCGUUGGCCUGUGUACAAGUCCCUUGGAACAGGGCGUCAUAGAGGGUGAGAAUCCCGUCCUUGACACAGACUACCAAUGCUUUGUGAUGCGAUCUCGAAGAGUCGAGUUGUUUGGGAAUGCAGCUCAAAAUGGGUGGUAAAUUCCAUCUAAAGCUAAAUAUUGGCGAGAGACCGAUAGCGAACAAGUACCGUGAGGGAAAGAUGAAAAGCACUUUGGAAAGAGAGUUAAACAGUACGUGAAAUUGUUAAAAGGGAAACGAUUGAAGUCAGUCAUGCUUUCCGAGACUCAGCCGAUUCUGUCGGUGUACUUCUCGGUUGGCAGGCCAGCAUCAGUUUCGAUCUGUGGAAAAGGUUGGAGGGAACGUGGCAUCCUCGGAUGUGUUAUAGCCCUUCUUCGAAUACAUAGAGCGGGACUGAGGAACGCAGCGCGCCUUUUAUUAGGUUGGCCCUCGGGUACAUACGCGCUUAGGAUGCUGGCAUAAUGGCUUUAAACGACCCGUCUUGAAACACGGACCA